rnacentral:rRNA from 1 species
AGCAGUCGCCGCGGUAAUACAGAGGGUGCGAGCGUUAAUCGGAUUUACUGGGCGUAAAGCGUGCGUAGGCGGCUUCUUAAGUCGGAUGUGAAAUCCCUGAGCUUAACUUAGGAAUUGCAUUCGAUACUGGGAAGCUAGAGUAUGGGAGAGGAUGGUAGAAUUCCAGGUGUAGCGGUGAAAUGCGUAGAGAUCUGGAGGAAUACCGAUGGCGAAGGCAGCCAUCUGGCCUAAUACUGACGCUGAGGUACGAAAGCAUGGGGAGCAAACAGGAUUAGAUCCCCUGUAGUCCCUGUCUCUUAUACA